rnacentral:rRNA from 1 species
CGGAGCAUGCGAUUAAUUCGAUGCAACGCGAAGAACCUUACCAAGGCUUGACAUACACCGGUAACGCCCAGAGAUGGGUGCCCCUUUGUGGUCGGUGUACAGGUGGUGGCAUGGUUGUCGUCAGCUCGUGUCGUGAGAUGUUGGGUUAAGUCCCGCAACGAGCGCAACCCUCGUCCUAUGUUGCCAGCGGGUCAUGCCGGGGACUCAUGGGAGACUGCCGGGGUCAACUCGGAGGAAGGUGGGGAUGACGUCAAAUCAUCAUGCCCCUUAUGUCUUGGGCUUCACGCAUGCUACAAUGGCCGGUACAAAGGGCUGCGAUACCGCGAGGUGGAGCGAAUCCCAGAAAGCCGGUCGUAGUCCGGAUCGCAGUCUGCAACUCGACUGCGUGAAGUCGGAAUCGCUAGUAAUCGCGGAUCAGCAUGUCGCGGUGAAUACGUUCCCGGGUCUU